AUUGAACGCUGGCGGCAUGCCUUACACAUGCAAGUCGAACGGCAGCACGGGAGCAAUCCUGGUGGCGAGUGGCGAACGGGUGAGUAAUAUAUCGGAACGUGCCCAGUCGUGGGGGAUAACGCAGCGAAAGCUGUGCUAAUACCGCAUACGCUCUACGGAUGAAAGCGGGGGAUCGCAAAACCGCGCACGAUUGGUGAGGCCGAUAUUAGAUUAGCUAGUUGGUGAGGGAAAGGCUCACCAAGGCGACGAUCUGUAGCUGGUCUGAGAGGACGACCAGCCACACUGGAACUGAGACACGGUCCAGACUCAUACGGGAGGCAGCAGUGGGGAAUUUUGGACAAUGGGCGAAAGCCUGAUCCAGCAAUGCCGCGUGCAGGAUGAAGGCCUUCGGGUUGUAAACUGCUUUUGUACGGAACGAAACGGUGAGCUCUAAUACAGUUUGCUAAUGACGGUACCGUAAGAAUAAGCACCGGCUAACUACGUGCCAGCCGCCGCAGUAACAC
rnacentral:rRNA from 1 species